AUGUCAUCGACGAGAGCGCGGCGGAGCGGCGGCCGGUGGCGGCACGUGACGGUGGUGGACACGGGGUGCCGGUGCCGCCCGCGCCGCGCGAGGCUGCCGUCCUUCCUCUGGCCGUCCACGAAGCCGCCGGUGACGAGGAGCAGCAGCAGCUCCCAUCCGUCAUCCUCCGCCUCCGCCCACGUCUACAAGCACCACCAGGAGCCGGUAGCGACGAAGAAGGUGACGGCAAAGGCGUCGGCGCCGGUGGCGACGAAGAAGGUGGGCAGCAAUCCGGCGAAAAGGGGGCGCGAGAAGAUGGCAGCGGCGGCCGGGGAGGAGGAGGAGGAGGACGUUGGCGUGGCGGUGGAGAAGGAGUCGUCGGACCCGCGGGCGGACUUCCGUGACAGCAUGGUGCGGAUGGUGGUGGAGAUGGGGCUCGGCGACUGGGACGGCCUCCGCUCCAUGCUUCGCCGCCUGCUCGCGCUCAACGCGCCGCGACACCACGCCGCCAUCCUCGCAGCCUUUGCCGAGGUCUGCGCCCAGCUAGCCGGCCCCUCGGAGUCUCCAGCGUCGCCGCCUCCGGCGUAUCAAUCAAUACACGCGUGA
rnacentral:rRNA from 1 species